rnacentral:rRNA from 1 species
ACGCCGUAAACGAUGUCAACUAGCCGUUGGGGAUCUUGAAUCCUUAGUGGCGCAGCUAACGCACUAAGUUGACCGCCUGGGGAGUACGGCCGCAAGGUUAAAACUCAAAUGAAUUGACGGGGGCCCGCACAAGCGGUGGAGCAUGUGGUUUAAUUCGACGCAACGCGAAGAACCUUACCUGGCCUUGACAUCCUGCGAACUUUCUAGAGAUAGAUUGGUGCCUUCGGGAACGCAGUGACAGGUGCUGCAUGGCCGUCGUCAGCUCGUGUCGUGAGAUGUUGGGUUAAGUCCCGUAACGAGCGCAACCCCUAUCCUUGGUUGCUAGCAGUUCGGCUGAGAACUCCAGGGAGACUGCCGGUGACAAACCGGAGGAAGGUGGGGAUGACGUCAGGUCAUCAUGGCCCUUACGGCCAGGGCUACACACGUGCUACAAUGGCGCGCACAGAGGGCUGCAAACCCGCGAGGGUAAGCCAAUCUCUUAAAACGCGUCGUAGUCCGGAUCGCAGUCUGCAACUCGACUGCGUGAAGUCGGAAUCGCUAGUAAUCGCGAAUCAGAAUGUCGCGGUGAAUACGUUCCCGGGCCUUGUACACACCGCCCGUCACACCAUGGGAGUGGAUUGCACCAGAAGUGGUUAGUCUAACCUUCGGGAGGACGAUCACCACGGUGUGGUUCAUGACUGGGGUG